UUAAGCUACUAAGAGCAUAGGGUGAAUGCCUUGGCACCAAGAGCCGAUGAAGGACGUGAUAAGCUGCGAAAAGCUAUGGGGAGGAGCAAAUAUCCAUUAUAUCCAUAGAUAUCCGAAUGAGGGAACUCAGCUGGUGGAAAAAGACCAGUUAUCCAUACAUAAGUAAAGUAGUGUAUGUGAAGGGAACGUGGGGAACUGAAACAUCUAAGUACCCACAGGAAAAGAAAGAAAACUCGAUUCCUUGAGUAGUGGCGAGCGAAAGAGGAAGAGCCUAAACCAGAAGAAGUAAUUCAUCUGGGGUUAAGGACUACAUAAUUGAUUCAUGAGAUUUAGCAGAAUUGUUUGGAAAAGCAGACCAAAGAUAGUGAAAGUCUAGUAAGCGAAAAAUCAAAUGACAUGGUAGUAUCCAGAGUAGUGCGAGACACGGGAAAUCUCGUAUGAAGAAUGGGGGACCACCCCCAAAGGCUAAAUACUACUUGGUGACCGAUAGUGAAGCAGUACCGUGAGGGAAAGGUGAAAAGAACCCCGGGAGGGGAGUGAAAGAGAACCUGAAACCCUAUGUUUACAAGCAGACAAAGCACGUUAAGGUGCGAUGUCGUACUUUUUGUAGAACGGUCCGGCGAGUUAUUUUAUAUGGCAAGGUUAAGUACUUAAGGUACGAAGCCGAAGAGAAAUCGAGUCUGAACAGGGCGAAUAAGUCAUAUGAAAUAGACCCGAAACCGGGUGACCUAUCCAUGGUCAGGUUGAAGCUUGAGUAAAAUCAAGUGGAGGACCGAACCCAUAAGCGUUAAAAAGCUUCGGGAUGAACUGUGGAUAGCGGAGAAAUUCCAAUCGAACUCGGAGAUAGCUGGUUCUCCUCGAAAUAGUUUUAGGACUAGCCUUGUUUAGUAGUACGUGGGGGUAGAGCACUGAAGGAGCUAGGGGCCAAACCAGGUUACCGAACUCUAUCAAACUCCGAAUACCAUGUGCGUAAGAACAGGAGUCAGACUGUGGGAGCUAAGUUCCAUGGUCAAAAGGGAAAGAGCCCAGAUCGUCAAUUAAGGUCCCAAAGAUAUAGUUAAGUGGAAAACGAUGUGAUUUUGCGUAAACAACCAGGAUGUUGGCUUAGAAGCAGCCAUUCAUUUAAAGAGUGCGUAAUAGCUCACUGGUCGAGUGAAGUUGCGCGGAAAAUUACCGGGGCUAAACUAUACACCGAAAUUGCGGAUUUAUACAGUAGUAUAAGUGGUAGAGGAGCAUUCUGUUGUAGGACGAAGCAUGAUCGAAAGGACAUGUGGACGAAGCAGAAGAGAGAAUGCCGGAAUAAGUAGCGAAAGCAUGGUGAGAAUCCAUGCCAUCGAAAGUCUAAGGUUUCCUGGGGAAGGUUCGUCCGCCCAGGGUAAGUCGGGACCUAAGGUGAGGCCGAAAGGCGUAGCCGAUGGACAGCAGGUAGAAAUUCCUGCACCACCGAUAUACUUAAAAAGCACAAGGGACACAGGAGUGGAAGAGAAGCGAGGAAGAGGAAAAACUCGUAUCGAAAGAUAUAGUGAAAAUAAAGUAACGAAUUCUCAAGAAGCACACUGGCGAGAAAAGCUUGUGAGUCUUGUAUAUAGGUGCCCGUACCGCAAACCGACACAGGUAGAUGAGGAGAAGAUCCUAAGAUGAGCGAGAGAAGCAUUGUUAAGGAACUCGGCAAAUUGACCCCGUAACUUAGGGAUAAGGGGUACCAGUGUAACAGCUGGUCGCAGUGAAUCGGUCCAAGCAACUGUUUAACAAAAACACAGGUUUCUGCUAAAUCGAAAGAUGAAGUAUAGGAGCUGACGCCUGCCCAGUGCUGGAAGGUUAAGGGGAAGGGUUAUUCGUAAGAAGAAGCUUUGAACCAAAGCCCCAGUGAACGGCGGCCGUAACUAUAACGGUCCUAAGGUAGCGAAAUUCCUUGUCAGGUAAGUUCUGACCCGC
rnacentral:rRNA from 1 species